rnacentral:misc_RNA from 1 species
UCACUACUUACGUAGGCAGUUUCCUUAGAGUCCCCAACUGAAUGCUGGCAACUAAGGAUAGGGGUUGCGCUCGUUGCGCCACUUAAGGCAACACCUCACGGCACGAGCUGACGACAACCAUGCACCACCUGUGCAGGCUCCGUAGAGCGCCGGCUUUCACCGGCUUUACCCUGCAUGUCAAGCCCAGGUAAGGUUCUUCGCGUCGCAUCGAAUUAAGCCGCAUGCUCCGCCGCUUGUGCGGGCCCCCGUCAAUUCCUUUGAGUUUUAGCCUUGCGGCCGUACUCCCCAGGCGGGGUGCUUAAUGCGUUAGCUUCGGCACGGACGGGGUCGAUAUCCGCCCACACCUAGCACCCAACGUUUACGGCUAGGACUAC